UGUUGCCUAUCAGCUUAAAUUAUACAUAAUGGCCCAUCUCUGGGAACCCUGCCUCCCAGGUAAUGAGCAUCAAGCUAAAAUACCUCUGUUUAGCUCACAAGAAACAUGCUGACCAGGCCCACCUGUGAAUGACUACAGGAAGGAAGAAAUGAACACAUCCCCUCCGGAGGCUGACCGGAACCAGGAAAUGUUUGACUUUACUCCCUCCUCUUUUAGUAUAAAAGAAGCCUGAAUUCUAACUCAGGCGAGAUGGUUCUUUGGGACACGAGUCCACGGUCUGCUGGCUUUCUGAAUAAAGUUGCUACUCCUUGCCCCAACAAUUUGUCUCUCAAUUUAUUGGCCUGUUGUGUAGUGGGCAGUACAAGUUCGGACUCGGUAACAUCUUUCUGCAUACUUUUCUCCACGGUUUCUCCAUUCUUUUUUCUUUAUUGCAGCUAUGAUGGUUUGCCAGAGACGGAGGUCAGUGUAGCAGAGGGAUGGGCACACAGGCUCUUGAGUCAGACAGCCCUGAGUUCAAAUCCUGCAUCCCCAGCUGUAGUCGAGGGAAGCAGUGGCCGAGGACCCAGCUACACACAUUUCUUCAGCUUCCAGAUGGCCUGUGACUGGAGGAAACAACGAUGGGGGUCCCACGUGGAUCCAUCUCUCAACUGUAAAACAGAAACACACCAGCGAAGCCGACUUGAAAAGGUUUACGAAGGAACCAGGCUUACUGGAGCAUCUCCUCAGCUCUCAAGUGGUACCCAGCAGUAAGAAGUGGAUCUGAGUCCUCACCACCAGCAGAGGUCAGUUUCCCACAGGUGUCCAAGAGGCAGGUCUUGAAAUCAUCUUGUAGCUGCGAGACCACAGGUCACCUCUUCUUCGAUGUUGUUUUGUGAUUACUGCUUGAGAGAGAGACAAAAGAGAGAGACUGACAGAUGGGUGUGUGGGGACAAGAGAGACAGAGAGAGAGAGAGAACGCACUAAGGAAGG